GUGCAUUUUAAGGGCUCAAGGGAUAUUACUUUUAAAUUCUAAGGCAGCAUUUCAUGUAUGCUUCACUUUCGAGGCAUUCCAACAAGCUCAAGACAAGAAAUGUCCAUUAUAAUAUCUAAGUCACUCAGCAUUGAAAUGUGAUUCAAAUGCACUGUUUUGCCCCAAUAUAUAGUAUGAUUGUGAUAGGUAUUUUUGUUCUUAUCAAUGUUAUCAGCUUAGCAACAUGCUAACAUACUGUAGGUUUGGAACAUCAUUCAUUACAACAGCUCACCAUGCGGAUAAAUCCCAUUAUGAGAGCGGAAAACCCUCAAUCCAUAUCCUCAGAGAGACUGACCCCGACACCAGAACUGGAGGACACACCCUGCUCUUUUCCACUGGGCCACACUUCUCUUGAACAGCGUCAGAGAGGCUCCAGUGUGCAAACCAACAGCAGCGACUGACAGACAUGUCUUCUGUUCUGUGGCUUUGAUGAGGUUAUCUCAGAACCUGACCGCAUUUUC
ensembl:lncRNA